rnacentral:rRNA from 1 species
UAGGGAGGAAAAGAAACCAACUGGGAUUACCUUAGUAACGGCGAGUGAAGCGGUAAAAGCUCAAAUUUGAAAUCUGGUACUUUCAGUGCCCGAGUUGUAAUUUGUAGAAUUUGUCUUUGAUUAGGUCCUUGUCUAUGUUCCUUGGAACAGGACGUCAUAGAGGGUGAGAAUCCCGUUUGGCGAGGAUACCUUUUCUCUGUAAGACUUUUUCGAAGAGUCGAGUUGUUUGGGAAUGCAGCUCAAAGUGGGUGGUAAAUUCCAUCUAAAGCUAAAUAUUGGCGAGAGACCGAUAGCGAACAAGUACAGUGAUGGAAAGAUGAAAAGAACUUUGAAAAGAGAGUGAAAAAGUACGUGAAAUUGUUGAAAGGGAAGGGCAUUUGAUCAGACAUGGUGUUUUUUGCAUGCACUCGCCUCUCGUGGGCUUGGGCCUCUCAAAAAUUUCACUGGGCCAACAUCAAUUCUGGCAGCAGGAUAAAUCUUUAAGAAUGUAGCUACUUCGGUAGUGUUAUAGCUUAUGGGAAUACUGCUAGCUGGGAUUGAGGACUGCGCUUCGGCAAGGAUGUUGGCAUAAUGGUUAAAUGCCGCCCGUCUUGA